rnacentral:rRNA from 1 species
GAUGAACGCUAGCGGCAGGCUUAACACAUGCAAGUCGAGGGGUAUAGUUCUUCGGAACUAGAGACCGGCGCACGGGUGCGUAACGCGUAUGCAAUCUACCUUUUGCAGAGGGAUAGCCCAGAGAAAUUUGGAUUAAUACCUCAUAGUAUGUGAGAAUGGCAUCAUUUUCACAUUAAAGUCACAACGGCAAAAGAUGAGCACGCGUCCCAUUAGCUAGUUGGUAAGGUAACGGCUUACCAAGGCAACGAUGGGUAGGGGUCCUGAGAGGGAGAUCCCCCACACUGGUACUGAGACACGGACCAGACUCCUACGGGAGGCAGCAGUGAGGAAUAUUGGACAAUGGGCGCAAGCCUGAUCCAGCCAUGCCGCGUGCAGGAUGACGGUCCUAUGGAUUGUAAACUGCUUUUGUACAGGAAGAAACACUGGUUCGUGAACCAGCUUGACGGUACUGUAAGAAUAAGGAUCGGCUAACUCCGUGCCAGCAGCCGCAGUAAUAC